GGAGGGGUCGCAUAGUGGACGAGUGCGCACGCUUGGAAAGCGUGUAUCCGCGAUAAGCGGAUCGUGGGUUCGAAUCCCACCCCCUCCG
rnacentral:tRNA from 1 species